rnacentral:rRNA from 1 species
CCAAUAGCGUAUAUUAAAGUUGUUGCAGUUAAAAAGCUCGUAGUUGAAUUUCGGGAUCAAUAUAUUGGUCGUGCCUCCGGUAUGCACUGGUAUUAUUGAUUUCUACCUUCUGACGAACUGUGAUGUCAUUAAUUUGGUGUCAUAGGGAAUCAGGACUGUUACUUUGAAAAAAUUAGAGUGUUUAAAGCAGGCACACGCUUGACUACAUUAGCAUGGAAUAAUGAAAUAGGACGUUUGACCCUAUUUUGUUGGUUUCUAGGAUCGACGUAAUGAUUAAUAGGGAUAGUUGGGGGCAUUAGUAUUCAAUUGUCAGAGGUGAAAUUCUUGGAUUUAUUGAAGACUAACUACUGCGAAAGCAUUUGCCAAGGAUGUUUUCAUUAAUCAAGAACGAAAGUUAGGGGAUCGAAGACGAUCAGAUACCGUCGUAGUCUUAACCAUAAACUAUGCCGACUAGGGAUCGGAUGAUGUUAAUUUUUUAAUGACUCAUUCGGCGCCUUACG